AAACAGAACAAAACCCGGCGCGGAAAGCGCCAGGAAGCCAAACGUUUUUGCUCUCCCCGCCGGCUCCGGAGACGGCAUCCGGGCGGGCGACGAGUGACCGCAAGAGUUAAGAACGACUCUCGGCAACGGAUAUCUCGGCUCUUGCAUCGAUGAAGAACGUAGCGAAAUGCGAUACUUGGUGUGAAUUGCAGAAUCCCGUGAACCAUCGAGUCUUUGAACGCAAGUUGCGCCCGAAGCCCUUAGGCUGAGGGCACGCCUGCCUGGGUGUCACCAAAAGGCGCCCCCCGUCCCGCCCGUCCGAGGGCACGGGGAGGGGGCGAAUGUUGGCCUCCCGGGAGCCCCUGGCUCGCGGUUGGUUCAAAGAGACGGGCUCUUGGUGGGGAGCGGCACCGCGGCAGAUGGUGGUCGAGAACAACCCUCGUGGCCAGUCGCGCGCGCCUCUCCCCCGGUUCAAGGCACGGCGACCCGCGGGCGACGUGGAUCGUCCCGAGCGCGACCUCAGGUCNGGUUGGGUUUAC
rnacentral:rRNA from 1 species